AUUGAACGCUGGCGGCAGGCCUAACACAUGCAAGUCGAACGAGUGGCGGACGGGUGAGUAAUGUCUGGGAAACUGCCUGAUGGAGGGGGAAAACUAGUGGAACGGAGAGAUAAUCCCGCAUACCAGAAGGUGUCCCCCGAUGGGAUUAGCUAGUUGGUGGGGUAAGGGCUCACCAAGGCGACGAUCCCUAGCUGGUCUGAGAGGAUGACCAGCCACACUGGAACUGAGACACGGUCCAGACUCCUACGGGAGGCAGCAGUGGGGAAUAUUGCACAAUGGGCGCAAGCCUGAUACAGCCAUGCCGCGUGUAUGAAGAAGGCCUUCGGGUUGUAAAGUACUUUCAGCGGGGAGGCGUUACCCGCAGAAGAAGCACCGGCUAACUCCGUGCCAGCAGCCGCGGUAAUAC
rnacentral:rRNA from 1 species